UUACAACGCCAUGACCUUUUUAAAUGAUACAUUGGAAUAUCGACAAACCGUUACAUCCUUGAAAAAAAUCAGUAGUUGAAAAUCAAGUUUCCAAUAUUCCUUCUACAUCAAAUGCUACAUCAAAUGACAACUUUGACAAUUUUGACGACAAUGGCACUCUUAUCUCCGAUGAUAAUUACACAUCAAUAUCUAGCGUCUCUCCAACAGCAU
rnacentral:lncRNA from 13 species